rnacentral:tRNA from 1 species
GCCUGGCUGGCUCAGUUGGAAGAGCAUGUGACUCUUGAUCUCGGGGUUGUGGGUUCAAGCCCCAUGUUGGGCA